CUUGUUUUAUAUAUGUUUCUCUUACUUUUGGGUUGUCACUUUCUCAGCCAUUUCAAUAUCACUUGCUUAUUUGCUUUGUUUUGCACAGUCUUCAAAGGAACUUGAGAAAACUUGUUGCUCAUCUUGAGUUUAAGCCGACGGGCCCUUCUUUAUAGUUGCUUCAUGCCUACGCCUUCUCUCUCUCUCUCUGCUUCCAGCCGGGAUCACCUCGAGUCCUCUUUUUCCCUGCUGGUGUGACGACCGCCUCGCGGAUGCAGGCGUCGUCCUGGCUUGUCUUCGUUGGAUCAAUAUCUCGCCCGCUGAGCGACAUCGCUUCCUCUUGGAUUGCUAUUGCCCGGGUCCGGGCUGGUGUUGUUCUCGGGUCUUGGGUCGGCCGGUCGAUGAUAAUCCGUAGCUUUGGAGUUUGAUCUGCUCAAGGGGAUAAGCAAACCACUUACCUGUAUCUUGGCAUCUAUGGUUCCAAAGAAAUUCAAAGCGAGUGGCACAUCGUCGAGAGCCGAUGGUAGGACCAGCAUCAGAAUGCUAGCCCGUGAUUGUCCGUGUUGUACCUCUGCUUCAAUUGCCCGCGUUAACUCCAUUCUUGUCCCAUUCGCCAAGCUAUCUUAAAGCUAUCUUUUUUCGAAUUUUACAUUUUAAGUUUUUUCUACAUAUGACAUCAACAACACGCUCUUUUAGCUAGCCCCCUCCUCCAAAGCAGCGCACUGCACUAAGCAGAGUGUUGAAUAAAAGAAUGUGCAAAAAAUAACCAAAGCUGCUGGACUGGUUGUGUGGUAGCCACAGCAAAUUAAUUUCUUUAUUUUGGCUAUAAUAAUGAUCCAAUCUGAUCCCAAUUCGGUGGUCUGAUAGAUUUGGUCCUUCCCUACAGAAUGGAGUUAUUUUAGUUUUCUUUCAUCUUCAAAAUUGAGCCUGUGGGAGAUUUUCGCUCUUUACGGUGGCGGAAGGGGCGGGGCUUAUUUUUGACAUACACUUGUAACAGUGUGAGCAUACAUAAGUUGGAUGCAAAAUUUGGGGCUCCAGCUUUUAUAGUCUCUGAGAUUCAGGCGCUCAACAAGACGGAGGGACAGAUAGGCUAUAUCGACUCGGCUAUUGAUGCUGAUCAAGAAUAUACCCUAUAUAUUCUUCGAGAAAUAUAUACUCACUUUCCCACCCCCUCUCAUACCUCACAAUGGGCCGGCGUACGAUCAGACAGAAAGCCACUGCCAAAGUCGGAGCGAGUCUGUUCAACUUCAAACUUCCAUACGAACUUCC
rnacentral:lncRNA from 1 species